UGUCGAUGAAGAGCGCAGCCAACUGUGUGAAUUAAUGCGAACUGCAUACUGCUUUGAACAUCGACAUCUUGAACGCAUAUUGCGGCCAUGGGUUUGCCUGUGGCCACGCCUGUCCGAGGGUCGGCU
rnacentral:rRNA from 8 species